UUAUAAAUUAACUCGGCUAGCUAGCUAGAUAGAGCUCACGGCCGGUCACUACUCACCAUCGAGAGGAGAGCAAAAAUAAUUGAGUGAUAGCUGUUAGCUAAGCUACCUAGCAUCAUGCAGGGAGGCGCCAAUAAUAAGGGCUUGGUAUGCUUGAUCGCCGCCGCCGCCGUGGUGUUGGUAUUCGCCGGCAGCAGCGGCAUUGCGGCGGCGCAGGCGGCCCGGGCUGAAGAAGGGGUUCUACAAGAAGAGCUGCCCCAAGGCGGAGGAGAUCGCGCAGCGGGUGGUGUGGAACCGCGUCGCCGGCAACCCGGAGCUCGCCGCCAAGUUCCUCCGCAUGUUCUUCCACGACUGCUUCGUCAGGGGGUGUGACGCGUCGGUGCUUCUGGACUCGGCUAGCAACACGGCGGAGAAGAACGCGGCGCCGAACCUGUCGCUGGCGGGGUUCGAGGUGAUCGAGGAGGUGAAGGCGGCGGUGGAGCGGGAGUGCGCCGGGGUGGUGUCGUGCGCGGACAUCGUGGCGCUGGCGGCGCGGGACUCGGUGUCGUACCAGUACAGGAGGAGCCUGUGGGAGGUGGAGACCGGGAGGCGUGACGGCACGGUCUCCAGCGACCAGGAGGCGCUCGCCGACAUCCCGGCGCCCACCUCCACCUUCCCCAUCCUCCUCGCCAACUUCUCCGCCAAGGGCCUCGGUCUCCAGGACCUCGUCGUCCUCUCAGGCGGGCACACCAUCGGAAUCGGGCACUGCAACCUUUUCAGCUCUAGGCUCUUCAACUUCACCGGAAAGAACAACCCCAGCGACGUCGACCCGUCCCUCAACCCAUCCUACGCCAGAUUCCUCCAGGGGCAGUGCAGGCGUAACCAGCAGGACCCAAACGACAACUCGACGGUGGUGCCGAUGGACCCGGGCAGCAGCGUGUCGUUCGACAGCCACUACUUCGUGAACCUCAAGGCGCGGCAGGGGAUGUUCACCUCCGACGCCACGCUGCUCACCGACGGCCGCGCCGCCGCGCUCGUCGACAAGCUGCGGGACCCCGGCGUCUUCCUCGACCACUUCAAGAACUCCAUCAAGCGCAUGGGCCAGAUCGGCGUGCUCACCGGCGCCGCCGGCCAGAUCAGGAAGAGGUGCAACGCCGUCAACUCCUAGCUAGCCGGCCGCUCGCUAGCUUGGCUUAUUAUCAUUCUCUAAGCUUUUUAGCUCUUACGAUGAAAACAUGCGUCAUAUCCGCUGCGCGCACAACCAUUAUUAGUUGUUGUAUCCUAAUUAUUGUUAUGCGUCGAAUACAGUAAAAUUAAUGCCCACGAGUUAAGUACAAGAAACAUAAAAAGAUUACAGAUAUAUAUAUUUUAUUGGUAAA